rnacentral:rRNA from 1 species
CCCUUAGAUGUUCUGGGCUGCACGCGCGCUACACUGAUGCGCUCAACGAGUUUAUGACCUUGCCCGGAAGGGUUGGGUAAUCUUUUCAAAACGCAUCGUGAUGGGGAUAGAUUAUUGCAAUUAUUAAUCUUCAACGAGGAAUGCCUAGUAGGCGCAAGUCAUCAGCUUGCGUCGAUUACGUCCCUGCCCUUUGUACACACCGCCCGUCGCUCCUACCGAUUGGGUGUGCUGGUGAAAUGUUCGGAUCGGCCGUUUGUCGCGGUUUCCGCGGCUCGUGGCUGAGAAGUUCAUUAAACCCUCCCACCUAGAGGAAGGAGAAGUCGUAACA